CACUCUAUGUAGCCUUAAUCU
rnacentral:sRNA from 1 species